GCAUUUUGCAGCUGUAGCAUAUGUUGGCGAGAGCACCCUUGAUCCUCUAAAGUAUUAUCACAACAUUACAUCAAACACCCUCACUGUACUAGAAGCAAUGGCAACUCGUGGAGUCCCAACUUUAAUUUACUCUAGUACAUGUGCAACGUAUGGAGAGCCUGAAGAGAUGCCGAUUACAGAAGAAACUCCACAGCUGCCAAUUAAUCCAUAUGGAAAAGCAAAGAAAAUGGCGGAGGAUAUCAUCCUAGAUUUUCACAAGAACUCAAACAUGUCUGUCAUGAUUUUGAGAUACUUCAAUGUCAUUGGUUCUGAUCCAAAUGGAAGACUAGGUGAAGCUCCACGACCUGAACUACGGGAACAUGGCCGGAUAUCUGGUGCUUGUUUU
rnacentral:misc_RNA from 1 species